rnacentral:lncRNA from 1 species
UGGGGUAUGAAAAGAAAAGGAGAAGAAGAGUUAUAGGUCAAUGCCCGAACUUUGAUGAUAAAUCAACAGUGACACAAUGAAGUUUUCCAGCUGAAAUUGAAGGGAAACUCGUAAACAAAUCUUGAACUCGGCGGCGAUUAAUUGAAGUUUGUGAGCGAGAUGCAUAGAGGGAUAAGAGGAAAGCUUUUUAUAAAUGAAAUUCUAGGGUUUUCAU